rnacentral:lncRNA from 1 species
UUGAACACUUGUAAAUAACAAGCUCUGUGCUGUGCAGCAUUAGUUGUAUCGGUGAUGCAAUUAGUUCCUCCUCUGAUCGGCCAAACUUAUACGUGUGUUUUUAUAUCUGUUCGAUUUGUGGAGUUAUUCCUUCCAUGGUAUUUCUGAGUAUUGAUUCAAAUAUGGCUCGUCAAUUGUUAGAACACCAGUCCCACAACUGCUUCUGCCAUAAUUCUCAAGACUUCAGGAGACUUUGUUUUACAGAAUUGUCCUGUAUUUUCAAGAAUACCAAGGUAAGAAUGUUUAUUCUCUAUUUGUUUGAAGGUUAAUAGAAAAUAUUUUUGGAUAUCUUUUAUUCUGAUAUGAUCAGGGAGAAACUAGAAAUUUUUUUUGGGAGAUGAGAUAUUUAAUACAUGGAUCAAAAUCAACAAUGAUCUACAAUUAAAACAAAUGUUAACCAAUGUCUCCUUAAGACAAAGGUAUAAAAAGUAAAAUAGAAAAGUUUCAAAUAAAUGCAUAAAAAUAUGUGCUUUUAUGAUUUUUAAAUGUACUCGUAUAAUUUCUACUAAAACCUUUCCCUUUUUAGUAAAGGUUUUUUUCUUUUAAAUUCUUUAACCAAAGGUACUAAUUAACAAGAUUCUAUCAUUAAAAUUAAAUUUUCUCUUAUAAAUUAAUUCAUCAAUCAAAUAAAAAAUAAUUUAAAAACCUAACAUAUAUAUAAGAAAAUCUAAAGCAAUAAACGUAUUUGAAAUUAUACCCAAAAAAUUACACAACUAAAAGCAAUUAAAUACAGGGGGGUGUCAUGGCCCCUGUGAGGAGACACAUGGAGAAUUGGAGAUGGACCUUUAGACGCCAACGGAGCCGAAUCUUCAAGGCCCAUUCGCAUCAAGAGCUCCACGCUGGUUGGAUAAUUACAAGAGGAAGUGAAGACGAGUGAUUUUAAUGCUUUUCAUCAACUGAUAUUUAAAUGUAAGGUAAUCUUUUAAAAAUAUUUUGUUUCAAAUGAUUCCAAAUUUUCUUUUUAAAAUAAGAAAAAUAUAGGAUAAAUAUUUUCCUGAGUCAGUACUCUACCAUACCGAGAUUCUUUCUAUCAGAAAGUUGAUGCGUAAAAUAUUGUAACACAAGGAUAUGUAUAUUGGUAAUAAUAUAGUGAACCCAAAAGUUCGGAAUAAUCGUACCUUAGAAAUUAGGUGUGUUUUUAAAUAAUUCAAAUUAUAUAAAUUAAAUAAUUUUGGGGGGUUUUAACUUGUGUUGAAAGUAUUUUACCAAUUAUAACAAGAAAUAUAAAUUAAGUUAAGCAACAGUUUUUGAGAAAGAGAUGUAUGAUUAAGGACAAGUUUGGAUUAUCAAUUCACAUGUACAUGUUUUUUCUCAAUUCCAAUUUUAAUUAAGAAUCCUACGUUAAUGAUUAAUCGUUGAUUGCCUCUAAAGUUAAUCGAUAGCCUAUGGUUAAGGUUUGAAAAUACUUUUUUCCUUAAAUUAAUUUUCAAUUGGUCAUUUGAGAUUUAAUUUAGGGUUAAGGAUGAAUAAAAGAGAGGUUUAUAGAAAGGAGAUUCAUGUCACCAGUUUGAUCAUGUGAGUUUUAUGAACCCUAUUGUUUUAUAAGUCAGUUAAUUAUGAGUAGAUGAUCAAUAACACAUAAUUAACUAUCAAUUAGAGUGCUUAAUUCCAAUGUAAAAGAGAAAAUAGUAAACCAACAUGAUUAACUGAAUAACAUCGAAGAACUCAAUUAAAAUAUGGAAUUAGAGUACAUGAGUAUAACUACAUCAUAAUCCGAGCUCCACGGGUUUAGCUAACCAUGGUCACAAUAUAGCCAAACAUCAUAAAAAAUAGCAUUGAAAAUGAAAAAAGAUCAAAUUUUUUUACAGAUUAGGACCCUAAUUGUUUACAGUGCAACUCUAGACCUCAAAAAAUCUUUGAUGUUCAAAAAUAAGUAAAAUUUUACCUAAAAAUGCCUCUCCCCUUUCUAUUUAUACUAAUGAUAAUUAAACAACAAUGCAGAGGUAGCAUGGGCCACGCUAAAUUAGCAUGGCCGGUUGAGGACAACAUAAUCGUGCUCAAAUGUGUGACAUUGAUUCUGAUUUUUGGCUUUGGAACAACAUGGGUCAUGCUAUUGUCAGUAGCACAACCAUGCUCAAAUGUGUGACACUGAUGAGGAAUUUUCUAGAAAAAAAAAACAGCAUGGCUUGUAGGUACAACACAGAAUGUGCUGCAAUCAACACGAGCCACGUGCUCCUUGAAGAUGCUCAAGACUUGUUCUUUUCUACUCUUUUUUAGGCUCUUUUCUCAAUUUAUUGGCUUCCCUGCUCAGCUGUUCACACUUAAC